AACGAACGCUGGCGGCAUGCCUAACACAUGCAAGUCGAACGAGACCUUCGGGUCUAGUGGCGCACGGGUGCGUAACGCGUGGGAACCUGCCCUUAGGUUCGGAAUAACUCUCCGAAAGGGGUGCUAAUACCGGAUAAUGUCUUCGGCCCAAAGAUUUAUCGCCUUUGGAUGGGCCCGCGUUGGAUUAGCUAGUUGGUAGGGUAAAAGCCUACCAAGGCGACGAUCCAUAGCUGGUCUGAGAGGAUGAUCAGCCACACUGAGACUGAGACACGGCCCAGACUCCUACGGGAGGCAGCAGUGGGGAAUAUUGGACAAUGGGCGAAAGCCUGAUCCAGCAAUGCCGCGUGAGUGAUGAAGGCCUUAGGGUUGUAAAGCGCUUUUACCCGGGAUGAUAAUGACAGUACCGGGAGAAUAAGCUCCGGCUAACUCCGUG
rnacentral:rRNA from 1 species